rnacentral:lncRNA from 1 species
AUCGACAUCGAGCAACAUCGAGCGUUCCUCUUCUUCGUGGGGCGUGCACCUUCUGGGGGUGUAGGCGUGCAGCACCUGCUGCUAUGGAGGACGGAUGGCGCAGUGCUUCUAUCAUCAUCGUCGGGCUCAAAUUCCUGUAUGUAUGGAUCAAGAUGCCAUUCCCUGUUUUUUCCCUUCCAUUUCUGUUUAUAGAGUACAUCAAGGACACACUCACAUUCAGAAAGCACCAAUUAAACCUUGUGUAUCAAAUAACCAUUAUUGUAGGAGAAUUAUGAAGUAAUUUUCAUUUACAAACUUAUCUAGUAUUCUGAUAAUGUAAUGGAACUUUUACCUUUAAUUAACCAAUAUACAUAGCAGUACGCAUGGUUUAAGCCUUGAGCAUUAGUUCAGUUAUGCGUACAUUCUGUGAAGGUUUGUUGCUCCAAUUUGCCAUAUGGUGGAGAAACCAUAUAGUUGAGUUUGUCCUUAUCAGCUAUAAUAGCAAAAGUAUAUGAUCCUAUUUCAGCUCAAAUAGCCAGUUCUAUUUCAGGUCAAAGAGUCAGUUUUAAAAACAAAACAAGAAAAGGGUCAGGUAUAGUAUACAAGGUGAGAUGGAAGAUUCUUAUAAUGUAGGCCAUGUUUCGUUUAAAAAAGAAGGCUAUGCUACUGAUAUUUACUUUCAGUUCUUAUCCAUCUCUCGAAGAUAAAUAUUGCGGGUGAGAUUGCUACCCAAAUAUGAAUAGUUCGGAACCUUCGAACUUGUGCAAUGUUCUUCUGCUAACAAAAUCUCGAGAUUUGGCAAUUUUCAUCAGUUGUUUCGAUUAUGCUACAUUAUUCAAUUUUUUUGCCUUUGUGAUAUGUAAUCUCGCACCUCAUCGGCUUUCUUCUAAUACAGAAUGGCAUGUAUUUAUAUGUGUCUUUGAGAAAAAUAUUGCAUCAUCAUUAUUAUAUCAGUAUAUGCCACUGGAGAAAACAUAAGGUGCAGUUGAGAAUUAAAACAAAUAUUUUACAUUUUGUAUUGUGUUCAAUUGUCGAAGACUAAAAGUAUAAAUACCAACUACACUUUACUCAUUCUGUUGCUAACCAAGUAACCAUCAUUACAGAAGCUGGCAUGUUCAUUUGAAAAAUAGAUAAAAGAGGACAAGGGGAUACUAGAAGAUACAAGCAUGUAAGCAAUAGUUCUUGUGAUUAUAUUUAACAAUGAACAUUAUGGUUGAUUGCUUAAAAAUCUUUGCUUCUAAUGGAGCUGGAAGUGGAUUCUAAGCGUAUGGCAGAAGCAGCAAUGUGACCAGAAGCAAGGUGGGGUAAUAAGCCUUGUACUCACUUACCUCUUUACAUUGUUUAGAUCUAUGGCUGUCUCACCCCUUGUAAAGUAGUAAUUUUUGAAACCGGUUUUCUCCAAGGCAUUAGUUGCACCUUUCUUGUACAUGUGUAUCCUGUAUAUUAGCAAAAACUGUGAAAUAGCAUAAUGUCGUGUUGGAAACUUGGAAUUCACGAUUGCACUUAAAAUGGCCGUUAUCUUCAUGAUAGCUCCAAGCUUUAUUCUAGAAGCGUACGUUAGUUAGAUACAAUCAGCUCAUGUUGAUUCAGAACUUGAGUGUAGCAUGAUGAAAAAUUAGAAGUAGUAUGUUGCUUUUGCUUGGUAGAAACAUGACUUGUCCUCUUGGCACAGUAUACAUCUCAUUGUACUGCCAGUGCAUUUAAUUGAUUGAUUGAUUCCAAGGCAUUCCUAGUAAAUAGUAUAGCAAAGCUUAAUCACCAAAUUGGCACACUAGCGAUCAAUGUUGAUUAUGAAGGUAGAUUUAUUUCAAUCUAAAAGAAGAACCUUGCAUUAAUUGAAGCAUAAUAUGCAGCCUCUGAACUAUGGCAAAGUUCACAGUUUUUAUUUAUGCCUACACUAGAAAAUUACUUCACUCGUUAUACACCAUCAAACCAUAAUACAGUUAUAUCUUGCAGCAAUACUUAUAUCAGUAAUGACAUCACUCAGAAUUAAGUGAUGGCUAUAUGUCUCGUGACAAGUUUGACAAUGACCUCAAGAUCAGCAAUAUGCUCCUGAACUGGUACCUUAUGCAUGAUUCAUAAGUAACAUAGAUUGGGGUUAACCAACACAGGUGGUCAAUUCUUUGCUCAAUGAACUUCUCGUGCCUAAUUUGUUAUUUCUUUGCAAUUUCACCCUUCUUGAUGUAAUUAGAUUGGUAUUGUAUAUGAGCCAAAGUUGAAAAUUGUUUUAGUCAUAAACAGAGUUGAUAUAUUUGCUUUUACUUCUCUGAGUUACUUUGAUGCCAGCUUUCAUAGUACUAAUUGAUCUAUUUCUUUACAUAACUAUAUCAUGUAUAAUACUCCCUCCAUCCCAUAAUAUAAGAGUUUUUUUGACCUCUUAUAUUACGGGAUGGAGGGAGUAGCUUAUAAGAUGCAUUGAUUUCUGUUCUUGUAGCCAGCUAUGACCAAUGUAUGCAUAGGUCCAGAAUUUGUGAAUAUUAUAAAGAAAACUAUAGUAUCUUGUCUACAAGAUUAUAUAUUGUAAUUCUUAUGUAUAUUGUUGCAGGUUUCUCAAAUAUACACAAGUUGCUAGAGGUUUCAAGAUCUACAAGUUGCUGGAUGUUUGGACGAUCUAACAAGUUGGUGGAGUGAUAAUAUAUAUUACCUUCAUCCCAAAUUACUUGUCUUGGACUAUAACGUGUCUAGAUACAUCUGUAUCUAGAAAAACAAUUUGGGACAGAGGGAGUAUGUAAUAUGCCUUGUUUGUUGAGCCUAGAGAUGUUGUUAAGUUUCACUUUGCCAUUUUGGUGGUUGUUUUGGCACAUAAGCCAGAGAAUUCUCAUUUUGAUUGUGCCACAAUUUCUUUUCCUAGAAACUGAUCUACUUUCCAUUGUGGCACAAGGUUAUGUAUUUGAUUCGUUAAUGUUAUUGAAUGAGACCUUGCAUGUAACAUUGAUUAAAGUGUAUGUAUAACUUUUGUGA